UAGAUCUCGUAAUCGAGAAUCGCCAUUGCAAUAGGCAACGAUAUGUAGAUUAACUUGGGUAUGACAACCGGAGAGAAGGUUUAUUUGUAAUCAAUACAUUAUUUCUAAGUAUAACAUUUUGCUACAAGUUGGCCUUAUAAGUUUCCACUUUUCCAUGUACAUUCCUUUUCCUCUUAUAGAUCCACUUACACCCUAUGGGUUUUAUCCCUUUCGAUAAGUGUUGGAUCUCGA
rnacentral:lncRNA from 1 species